UCCCAGGUGGUGCAGUGGGUUAAGGCUCCGGCAUUGUCACUGCUGUGGCUCGGGUUCAACCCUGGCCUGGGAA
rnacentral:tRNA from 1 species